CGCCGAUGACGAAUAAAAAAAAAUUCUGACACCUACUAUGACAGCUGAACUUCAGCUUGUGAUUCUAUGUUAGAUCCUGAGGCUU